CAUUAGCUUCGGUUUGCGUUAGCGAUUGAAAUGACAUCCUUUUAUGAAUUAACGAAUAAAAGAUAAAAUGGAAAGCGCGACCUUUA
rnacentral:sRNA from 2 species